AAGACCACCGGAAAAGGAAAAAAUAGUGCAGCUGCCGCCAGUCAACAAAUUUUCUUUUUUUUCCCGUUAAAUUCCUCUCUUAAAUAUGGGUUUCUCAAUGUUUAUUUUCAUUUUUAAUGCCUCAACGGUCACAUUUUCAAAUGAUGAUUUCUUUCUGUGGGGUUUGCCUCCAAGAAGAUUGCCGAAGUGUAACUCAUUCAUUUGCUUCUUUGGUUGUUCUUUAAUCUUUCCUCUUAUUGGAAUUUGAUUCUUUUUUUGUGCAUCUUCGGUAACUGAACUUGGGGGUUUUGGUUUUUUAUUUUUGGGGGCCUAAAGUCACUCCGUCCUUGGUGAAUUCAAGUUGUGAGUUGUUAAGCAAGUGGGUUUACGUUGAAGUUGCAAUGACGGAGGAGAACUCUACAAUGAUUUCGGAGAGAUAGGCGGAUGCUAUUAAAUUUCUAACUUUCAGGAAGCUUAAUCAAGAAGAUGGUAAAGCCCCCGGAGCUGUUUCCUUGUGUGAUGUGGAUCUUGAUCAAGUUAGCGUUGAUUUUUUCCUCAAUUGUGCAAGAAAAGGUAGGGAAUGUCAACCCCAAAAUAUAGCCUCUACAUAUCUGCUUUAAAAUGGAUUGCAAUCAUCAGGUCAGGAUUUUUUUUUUUUGAGUUGGCGAACUUCUUGAACUAUCUGAAGCUAUUCGACAUUAUCACCACAACACUGUUCACUCAUAUGGUAUAUUCAGACUUGCACAGACAUUAUUUUCUGUUCAAUGGUCACUAUUUUAUGAAUGUUCUGCACAUACAUUAAUUUCUGUUGAAUAGUUACUAUUUGUGAAUGUUCCACUUUCAGAGGUUUAUCUACUGCAACAUAGAAUUAUUCCAUAUGGUAUUGUUGUGCAGCACUUUUUACCUAUUCCAGAACUUUAUUUAGUGUGUUUAAUUAUCAAUGUUUAUUUUCAUUCUUGACGGUUUCCUUUUGGUAUUACGAGUAAUGCAAGUUCAAAUGAUGAAUGCUUUCUGGCUACAAAUCCUGAGCUCUCGGGUUUGCCUCCAGGAAGAUUGCCUGUCCCUAUUUCCACAUCACCAAUUUUGCAAACACUCUCAACGUCAGGAUCAAUUGAUACUGAACCAUUUGAAGAGCUGUCUAGUUUAUCCAAAUCUCAGUAUCUCAGUUCCACACAACAACAAGAGUUAACAGUUGACAACAUUGAGGAUUUUGAUGACGAUGAUGAUCUAGAUGAACUUGACAGUUGAAGAUAUUCAAGAAGAGUUCUCAAUGAUGCUGCUGAUCUCGUGCUUGGAUUGCCGUUAUUUGCUACUGAUUCCAUUAUCUACUUUCAAAAUGUAUUCUUUUCUUGCUUUUACGUGGAUGGAUGGGAGAUACUUAUACUUCAGGCUGUAUUUCUUCCUAGCUAUUGGCGAUGAUUAUCUCCGUGAAACAGCAUAUGAGAUCCUUCUGGCUGCUGCUGGACCUUCAGGAGGCCUCGUUGUACCUUCAAAGGACAUAAAGAAGAAGAAGACAUCUAGAUUGAUGAGGAAGCUGGGCCGUAGUAAAAGUGACAAAGUAAUGACCCAGUCACAAUAUUUAUCUGUACUGGUCAGUUCGUUGGAGACAAUGCGUGUCCAGAUGGAGAUUCCUGGAGGCCAUGGACGUCAGGACAAGACUUGGUCUCCUUAAUGCGAUGGUUGGAAAAGUGGGUAAAUGAUGUAUACAAUCUUGAUCCCACUGGAAUUGUUAUGUUGUAUUUCAUGUACCGAGUUUUCCAACAAAAAGUCAUAUAAAUGGCAAAAGAGACAAUUCAGUUAAACAUGUUGGAGGAGGAGGGGCUUAUAAAUUAUCCUGUUAUAGGGUUGGGGAGUCUGGGUGAAAAGCAAAUAAGCUAAGGGUUCUUUUAGCUAAUAUAGAAGAAUCUGAGUCCUUUCUCCCUCCUGCAGCAGAGAUGCAAAGGAUAAUGUUUAAAAUCUUUGAGAGAGAUCCCUAUGCCACUGGCAGAAAGGCCAGCUCGGGGUGACUUAACUGGUGAAGUAUGCCACCGUGCUGAUGGUUAUCACCUGAAUGUCAAAUUAUACGGGAAUCUACUUCUCAGUGUUUUUGAUGUUUUAGAUGAGGGAAAAGCUCACAGAGGUCAGUAAAACCCACUUGAAUGUCAUUCUCUCUAAUUCUUGCCAUUCUUGCUAUGCCUUAUGGUGUCAGGAUAAAGAUGAUCAUCUUGUCUCUUACACUGGAAAGUAGUACUCUUGGGAUGUCACCUUUCUAUUAAAAGAAGGAAGUUAAAGAAAUUUUGGAGCUUCUUAAGUCCACAUGCCGUAAUUUGGGAAUCAUAAAAACCAUCCACUACACUUGCUAUGCUUGGGUAUUAUUUUGACUGGUAUAAAUUGACAAAAAAGUUCCUUGUCCAGGUUUUGUUUGGAUUUCUUGGUUGUUGCUCGAGUCGGAACUCAUGUGGAAGAGGUCGCUGUCUCCUCUGCUCGUCUCGUCCCCGUUCGCUUCCCGCAACAAGGUCGGGAACCGAGAAUACACUGAUAUACAGCGUGAUACAGCGAUAUACACCAGCUAUAUAUUGUGUAUAAAUGCAACAUAAAUGGGCACAAAAAGCCCCCAAAAUUUCAGAAAUUGUAUUUUGUUACUUUGGGCCUAAGCCCUUUUUGCCUUUUAUUAUUAUUUGUUAGAUUAGGACAGGUGGAGGAUUGGGCGUAAAGUAAAGCCCACUAAAAAAUCAAAUUGCUAUGUUAGUUUAGGACAGGUACGAAAGGAAGAAUUGGGCCACAUAUGCAGAUGCAGCGUGAUACAGCAAUUACAUCAGCUGUAUAUUGUGUAUAAAUGCAGCAUAAAUGGGCCCAACAAACCCGCAAAAUUUCAGAAAUUGUAUUUUGUUAUUUCGGGCCUAAGCCCCUUUGUCUUUUUA